AACGAACGCUGGCGGCAGGCCUAACACAUGCAAGUCGAGCGCCUUAAGCACUUCGGUGUGGCGGGAGCGGCGGACGGGUUAGUAACGCGGUGGGAACGUGACCCGAAGGUACGGAAACAACUGCUGGAAACGGCAGCUAAUACCGUAUGUGACCCUCGGGGGAAAGAUUUAUCGCCUUUGGAUCGGCCCGCGUUGGAUUAGCUAGUUGGUGAGGUAACGGCUCACCAAGGCGACGAUCCAUAGCUGGUUUGAGAGGAUGAUCAGCAACACUGGGACUGAGACACGGCCCAGACUCCUACGGGAGGCAGCAGUGGGGAAUAUUGGACAAUGGGGCGCAAGCCUGAUCCAGCCAUGCCGCGUGAGUGAUGAAGGCCUUAGGGUUGUAAAGCUCUUUCGCCAGGGACGAUAAUGACGGUACCUGGAUAAGAAGCCCCGGCUAACUUCGUG
rnacentral:rRNA from 1 species